UACCCUCUAUAGGUCUACAUGAUGUACCCAGUAAUAGAGAGGGAACCUACCCUCUAUAGGUCUACAUGAUGUACCCAGUAAUAGAGAGGGAACCUACCCUCUAUAGGUCUACAUGAUGUACCCAGUAAUAGAGAGGGAACCUACCCUCUAUAGGUCUACAUGAUGUACCCAGUAAUAGAGAGGGAACCUACCCUCUAUAGGUCUACAUGAUGUACCCAGUAAUAGAGAGGGAACCUACCCUCUAUAGGUCUACAUGAUGUACCCAGUAAUAGAGAGGGAACCUACCCUCUAUAGGUCUACAUGAUGUACCCAGUAAUAGAGAGGGAACCUACCCUCUAUAGGUCUACAUGAUGUACCCAGUAAUAGAGAGGGAACCUACCCUCUAUAGGUCUACAUGAUGUACCCAGUAAUAGAGAGGGAACCUACCCUCUAUAGGUCUACAUGAUGUACCCAGUAAUAGAGAGGGAACCUACCCUCUAUAGGUCUACAUGAUGUACCCAGUAAUAGAGAGGGAACCUACCCUCUAUAGGUCUACAUGAUGUACCCAGUAAUAGAGAGGGAACCUACCCUCUAUAGGUCUACAUGAUGUACCCAGUAAUAGAGAGGGAACCUACCCUCUAUAGGUCUACAUGAUAC